UACGGGGGGAGCAAGCGUUGUUCGGAUUUACUGGGCGUAAAGGGCGCGUAGGCGGUCGUGACAAGUCACUUGUGAAAUCUCCGGGCUUAACUCGGAACGGUCAAGUGAUACUGUCGGACUAGAGUACAGAAGGGGCAACUGGAAUUCUCGGUGUAGCGGUGAAAUGCGUAGAUAUCGAGAGGAACACCUGCGGCGAAGGCGGGUUGCUGGGCUGAUACUGACGCUGAGACACGAAAGCGUGGGUAGCAAACAGG
rnacentral:rRNA from 1 species